CACACACUCUACAACCCUGCCUCAGAUGCCUUUCCCUAGUGAAACAAGGCACUCCAGAUAACAGCCUCUCCAACGUCGGAGAUUAAAGAAUUGAAGGACCGGCAGAAACCACUCAGCGUCUAACUUCUAACUCAGGCUUCAGAACCCGCCCAGCCACAGAGCUACUGCAAACGCGCUUGCGCCCUCUGGCCGGCUCAGUCCCCAAAGUUCGCCUCGCGCUCCGAUUGGCUGCUUUCCGCACCAGCCCAGGCGCCACGUGAUCCACUGGCCACCGCGUGAUUGGUUGUUCCUCUCGCUGGGGCUGCCGGCCCUGCCGCGAGGAGCAGGAGUCUGGAAAGCGGCAAGUGGCUUCCUCCCGCAGUGUACAGCACGGGGUGGGCUGCCGUGAGCCUCAGCAGACCCGGGCAGGCCUCGUAAGAAUGUAGGACGUAAGCGUUUUGGGAGGUUCGGAAAGCGGACUGCAGAGCCCCUGCCUGCAGCUCUGAUUUGCGCCCUGGCUCCGGCCUUACUUGUGUUUCGCCCACAAGAAUGACUUCCUUCAGUCUUUCCUGAAGUUGGUGAGGUUUGGACGUAUUAGUAGCGUUAGUAGUAUUGUUAUUUUUCUUAUUAUCAUCAUCAUUUGAGAGUCCACUGCAUAUAAGCAUUGGUGGUCCUGCGCAGGGCGCCAUGCAGAAAGCCUUGAGUUAGAAGCUGGAGGAAGGAGGGCUUAUAGAUGCUUGCGGAACGUCCUUAAACCAGCAUGAAAUGUUGGAGGUUGAGGUGAAAAAUACUGUUUUGAUAAUCUUCAUGGAAGACUGCAUUAUUUCAUCCCUGAAUCUGGUUCAGUUCCCUUAUUGACUGAUUACUGUGUUAAAAUGCUUGUUUAGCAGUGAUUGUAAAAUAAAAGUAAUUAACAUGUACAUGCUCUCUUGGGGCAGACUAAGGGAAAACAGGUGUUCAGCUUGGAAAAAUGUUGCUCAUUGGAUUUCCCAUUAAGUCAGUAUGUCUUGGGUUUAACUUUUAAACAAAUUAAAAAAUUAAAUAUUUUAAAAUCUA